AAUGUCAUCAGAAUUUCGAGACCUCAGUUGUUUGUCAAGUUCUCUUGGAUGCAUCUUUCUCCUUGAACGGAUUUUAUUUUUUUAAUACUUAGUGAAUGUGUUAGUUUUCCAUCACUCUUGUUAUGGAUAGUACUGACAUGUAGAUGCUGGAUAGGAUGUUGAUAUUGUUGUUUAUUGUUUGAUGUCCAUUUUCUAUCAACGCUCUCUCUCUUUUAAAAAAAAAAAAAAAUUUAUUUGUGAAUAUGACUACUUCAUAGGCAUUGAAGCGGUGAACAGUAGCCUGGAGAUCAGGAUGCAUCAUUGAUUGGAUCUGUUAAAUAUGUAGUGUGUUAGGAAUUAAUUUUAUGCAUAUUAUAUGUGGUGCCAAUGAGGUUGAGUUCACUCUGAUUGAAAAGCAGAAUAUGUAGGUAUUUUCUUUGUUCCAGGCACAAUGCAGUUCUAUUUGCUAUUUUACAAAAUUUACCUUUUAACGUAAGAAAAAGGAUCCUAUCUGCACAAUUAGGUAGAGAAAAGGCAUGCAAUAGAAGGAUGUCAUUGUUAGCACUUACAUACAAGGCUUGUGGUUGUCCUUCUUCAUAGUCCACUUUCAGUUGCAAGAUCCUUCUAACCAGGAUGCCUUUGCUUUUGAGAGAUGAAAAGAGAAAAUGCUCAACUUCUCUAUUGCAUAUGGGAAAACUCCUGUUGGGCUGGCCCAUGAUUGGAAGUGGCGCUACCAAAGAGCAUGAAGGCAACAGGGUAUGAAAUAAUUCAUGAAGGUUAGGAAACCACUUGACUUUUGAACUUGGGCCUAAUAUAGACCCAUUGACAGUCCUAGCUCUAAUUUGCCUGUGUGUUAACAGACCUAAUCUACUUUUGAGGUGGGUUCCAGCCAAACUAAUUGGGUAGUGGGUUGGGUUGGAGCUAGAAAAUUGUCCAUUUAAAUAAUGGGUUAGGCUGGGGUUGAACCUACCUAAUGGAUCGAGCCAGAUGACCCUACGUAGGUUACUAAUGGGUUGAACCAGAUGACCUAUCUUAACUCCCUAAAACCCAAAACAAAAUAAAGAUCAAAAGUAUGGAUAAAUUUAUUGUCUGGACCCAAACUCAACAUGAUUUCUUUUGUCCAAUUGAUUGAACCUAAGCUCAUUCAAAUUGGGACAGGUCCAUCGGGUACCCACGGCUUCAGGUACCCAUUGGCAGGUCGGAUUUGGAUAAGAGGCCAGUAUCAACCCAUUAAAUUAGUGGGUUGGCUACUUUUGA